rnacentral:rRNA from 1 species
GGACUACCGGGGUAUCUAAUCCUGUUUGCUCCCCACGCUUUCGUGCCUGAAUGUCGGUGCUGGACCAGGAAGCCGCUUUCGCCACUGGUGUUCCUUCCGAUAUCUACGCAUUUCACCGCUACACCGGAAAUUCCGCUUCCCUCUUCCGCACCCUAGCUCGACAGUCUCGAAUGCAAUUCCCAGGUUGAGCCCGGGGCUUUCACACCCGACUUAUCGAACCAUCUGCGCACGCUUUACGCCCAGUAAUUCCGAUUAACGCUUGCACCCUCUGUAUUACCGCGGCUGCUGGCAC